GUGCCGGUACCGGAGCACGGGGAGCCGGAGGGGUGCCGGUACCGGAGCACGGGGAACCAGAGCGGUGCCGGUACCGGAGCACGGGGAGCCGGAGCGGUGCCGGAGCACGGGGAGCCGGAGCGGUGCCGGUACCGGAGCACGGGGAGCCGGAGCGGUGCCGGUGCCGGAGCACGGGGAGCCGGAGGGGUGCCGGUACCGGAGCACGGGGAGCCGGAGCGGUGCGGGUACCGGAGCACGGGGAGCCGGGGCCGGAGCGGGCGCGGUGCGGGACCCGGCGCGGUGCGGGAGCGCUGCCGGCGCUCGGCUCCGUGCGGCGCUGGCUCCUCCCCGCCGCAGCCCCGGGAUAAGGAGCCCGCUCGGCCCCGCUGGCCCGGGAUAAGGAGCCCGCUCGGCCCCGCUGGCCCGGGAUAAGGAGCCCGCUCGGCCCCGCUGGCCCGGGCAGGAGCCGCGCACGGAGGACACGGAAAGGCGCAAACAGCACCCAGCAAUCCCGGCCUCGCACUCCAGCCAGGGGAGCUCCCUCCUGCGGCUCCUCCUGCUCCUCUUGAAGCUCUGAGCAGAGCCGGAGCAGCCCGAGCCACCGGGAUCCGUGGGGGUUUCAGCCUCUCGGGGUUGUGGAUUUAGCAGCGGCUCCCCCACCCAUUCCAGCUCCUUGUUGUCUUAUAUUUAGUCAAACAUUCUGGCUUCGCCAAAAAUAGAGCAGCCAUGGAAAUAAAUCAGGCGGACUGGAGGUGCCAACAUUGUCUGCCUGAAAGUAAUUAAUUUUUUAUAUCCUCGCCUAUAUUAAUCGUCGCUUUCCCUCCACACACCGCCCUGUCUGUCAGCAGAGUUGUUGUAAUUAGUGCCGAAAUCUGGGGGAUUUGAUGGAGGUUUAAGGUGGUGGGGAAGGGCAGGGGGAAAGCAGGGCAGGGAAGACAGAAAAUCCAUCUCCACAGAGUGUGGAGAGUGGGAACACGGAGGACACAGCAGGGCUGGCAAGGAGGACGGAAGGGAAUGCAAGUUCUGUGGGGGAAAAUCCUACAUUUAGGAUCUUCUUUCCAGACAUCGAUAUUCCAUCAAAAAAAAACUGUCCAGGAGACACAAAUGUGAGCUUUGCUGCCAGAACUCCUCUUCCCCUCGUUCCUUUUGAAUGUGGGAAUCUCGCCGGACUUGGUGACUCUCAUUUCUCAUCUCAGAACCACCAGGCUGGCUGGGAGACACCUCGAGGAGUGCGAAAAUGCUUCCCAGAUGGCACCGCAGGAGCAUCAAAUCCAAGCCCCCGUGGAGGGAAGGGAUGUUCUAGAAGGAUCCAUCUCCUCUGGUCGCUUUAGCCUGGCCCAGGCCAACACCCCUGAGGCCCUCAGCAAUGUCUGAACACCCAGGAGUGGGGUAAAGCCUUCAGCAGGGAGUGGGGUAAAACCUUCAGCAGGGAGUGGGGUAAAACCUUCAGCAGGGAGUGGGGUAAAACCUUCAGCAGGGAGUGGGGUAAAACCUUCAGCAGGGAGUGGGGUAAACCCUUCAGCGGGGAGUGGGGUAAACCCUUCAGCAGCAGCUUUCGGUGGGAGCAGGAGCUGAACCAGCAGGCUCUGAACCAGGGCUGCCCCUCCAGAAGCAGGUGGGGGGUUCAAAACUGAGGCACGGUGACCUGGUGGGGACGUGGUGGCUUUGCAGCAGGGCUGAGACGCCGUCCUUGGUGACACACGGUGAGCAGCUCGUUUGUCACCUGCGUCUGAUGGGGAUUGGCACCCCUGGCUCUGCAGGGCUCAGGGAGGAGCAGCAAAGGUGGGGCCAGGGGUGGGGUGGUGGCCAUGGUGUCAGGCUGGGUGUGACAUCCAGGGCUGGGUGUGACAUCCAGAGAUGUGUGUGACAUUCACAGUUGGGGUGUGACAUCCAGAGAUGUGUGUGACAUUCAGGGCUGGGUGUGACAUCCAGAGAUGUGUGUGACAUUCACAGUUGGGGUGUGACAUCCAGAGCUGUGUGUGAAAUCUAGGGCUGUGUGUGACAUGCAGGGCUGUGUGUGACAUGCAGGGCUGUGUGUGACAUGCAGGGCUGUGUGUGACAUCCAGAGAUGUGUGUGAAAUGCAGGGCUGUGGUGUGACAUUCACAGUUGUGGUGUGACAUCCAGAGCUGUGUGUGAAAUCCAGGGUUCUGUGUGACACCCAGGGCUGGGUGUGACAUUCACAGUUGUAGUGUGACACCCAGGGCUGUGAGCGACAUCCAGAGCUGUGUGUGACAUUCACAGUUGUGGUGUGACACCCAGGGCUGUGAGUGACAUCCAGGGCUGGGUGUGACAUGCAGGGCUGUGAGUGACAUCCAGGGCUGUGUGUGACAUUCACAGUUGUGGUGUGACAUGCAGGGCUGUGUGUGACACCCAGGGCUGUGUGUGACACCCAGGGCUGUGUGUGACAUCCAGGCUGGCUCCUGUGGACGCCUGUCCUCCCGUCACCCCUGGUCAAUGAGUACCCGGUCAUGUGGGUGCACAGUCAGCGCCCUAGGGGAGAUGUCACCCUGGGGGAGAUGUCGGGAGCACUUCUGUGUCAUUCCCGGCUCGCUGCAGCUCCAACAGCUGCUGCCACACCUCCCACGCCACAGCUCCAUAAAUCCAGUUUGAAACUGAAAGGAAACGAGAUUCCCAGGAAAAGCUCCAGCAAAUCAAGCUGAAGGCCCCAGACUGGAUCUUCAGAGAAACCACGGAGAGAAAUCAACGUGCAAAGGGCAGGAAUGUUAGAGCAAUUAGGGAGCCAUGAGCUCGGUGCUUGUGUCACCCCAGCUGCUCGGUGGUGCAGAACAUUCCUCAUCAACACAAA